UGUUAAGCAAGUGGCUUGCAGCCUAGGCGGGGGGGGGGUGGGGGGCUGCUUUUCCACAGGCGGCGGGUUCAACUUUAGUGGAGAAAGAAGAAACCGCGCUUCGGGGGUUCAGGUCUGGCCCGGAAGGAAACCGUGAGCCUUUCGGCGUGGCAGGAGUUUCUGCCACAGCUCCCCUGGGACCCGGAGAGGAAGAAAGGAGGCGCAGGCCGCACCCAGACCUCCAGGCUGGGACCUGACCUGAAGGGUAGAGACUGCUUCAAUCCAUACACAGUAAUAGCACACCGGGGCGGAAGCCACUUUGAACCUUGGUUCCUUCCUUUGUGGAAUACAUUCCUAAUAACCAGGAGGCCGGGAAGGUGUGGACACUGAGGAAGACCACCUGUGCAAAGCUGACUAACACUUGUGUUCACACUUUCCAGUCCGUGAAGGUGGGAGGCCAGUUCCCAGUGGUAAAAUCUAGCUAGCCCUUUAGAAGCUGAGGGUUCUCAGACUCAGGGACACUGAGGUUGGAAGAAUUGGGCAAAGAGGAACUAAAGUUCAGAGCUCUCAGGAGAGCAAAGGAACUUCUAAGCACAUUCUCUAAACUGCCUGCGCAUUCAAAAGCAGUGGAUUAGGAGGAAAUUGCGGUUGGGUCAGAGGUAGAGAUGAAUAUUUACAAGAGAGAAGAGAAUGGCCCAUGACCCGCAGCCCUCAUCUGCUAGGCGCAGGGUCAGACCUCCCGGUGAGCCAACUCUGGUGAGUCACGCUGCAAGGGUGAAGAUUCUGUGAAAGGUGGAGCAGUGACUGGUACCUGGAUCACCUGUGCUUGGAGUCUGGAGAAGGAAGGGGUGGGUGCGGGUGCGUGCAUGGGAUCCCAAGGGUUGCACCUACCCCUGUUUAUCUGAGAAAGGGGUUGUAAGUUCACAGAAGGGAGGGGGAGCUUCAUUUCACCUUCUUGCUUUCUAGUUUGUUGUGACAUGGGACAGAUCCUUGCCUUUUGUGAUCCUGCCCAGUAGGAGAAUUCUCUGCCUCUCAGCGCCACUCAGGCAGGAUGAUGAAGUGUUCGAAGUAAAUGUCCCUGAGCGAAGAACCUUGUUUUCCCUGCCUCUUACUCAAUAUAAGUAAUAUAAUAUAAUAAAGUAUAAGAA